UUUGGCCAUCUUCAAAAAUCAGAGAAUUCUGAUGAACAUCUGAAGUUGCUGAAUCAGUUAUCAAUUUGAAAACCUUUUUUGACAUGUUUGUUUUCAUGCCAACCAUCUUUCCUGAAGCAUAUAUGCUGGUAAUUCCUAAAUCUGCUGCCAUUCUUCUGACAUAAAGCUUCUUCAAUAGGAUUUCCAUAGAGUAAGGUUCUAAUUCCUAAAUCUGCUGACAUUCUUCUGACAUAAAGCUUCUUCAAUAGGAUUUCCAUAGAGUAAGGUUCUUUGCCAUACUGACACCUCAGAUUUUCCGUAAAUUGCAUCAAGCUGAAAAUGUCCUUUUCAGCUGCUGUUUCAGCGCCAUUAAUGAUUUGCAUGGGGUUCUCCAAAUGAUUUAUGUACUCGGAAGGAAGAUGAGUGUUUAUAUUGAUAUCAAGCUGAGACAUGAAGUGAGAAUUUUAAAAGGUUAUACACAUUUAUUUGCAAUUGCCAAUGAAAGUAGCAGAUAAACUAUAGGUUUAUAUUGAUAUCAAGCUGAGACAGGAAGUGAGAAUUUAAAAAUGUUAUACACAUUAUUUGCAAUUGCCUUCACAAGUCAAUGUUACAAAAGCAGAUUAGGAGGCACAAAUUCGUACAAGCUAUUUGUAAAACCACUAGUCUAAAGUUCCUAUAUGAAGCUGUUUCCACGUGCCUAGGAAAUCAAC
rnacentral:lncRNA from 1 species